rnacentral:rRNA from 1 species
UACAGAGGGUGCGAGCGUUAAUCGGAAUUACUGGGCGUAAAGCGCACGCAGGCGGCUUGGUAUGUCGGGUGUGAAAUCCCCGGGCUCAACCUGGGAACUGCAUCCGAAACUGCCUUGCUCGAGUAUGGGAGAGGGAAGUGGAAUUUCCGGUGUAGCGGUGAAAUGCGUAGAUAUCGGAAGGAACAUCAGUGGCGAAGGCGACUUCCUGGACCAAUACUGACGCUCAGGUGCGAAAGCGUGGGGAGCAAAUGGG